GGGCUCGUGGCUUAGCCAGGAUAUAGCGCCGGCCUUCUAAGCCGGACGUCCCGGGUUCGAAUCCCGGCGAGUCCG
rnacentral:tRNA from 1 species